rnacentral:misc_RNA from 1 species
GGAUCAACCAGGUAGCAUUCCUCACCGACGUCGAUCGGCGUGCUGCAAUCCGUAAGGAAUCCACCACAACCGAUACGAACGUCGUUCGCACGUAGCGUUGAACGCCUUGUUACGGGGGGCAAAUAGAGGUCGAGGCCUCGUGCCCACAACAUGUUCCGCAUCCGAGAUUUCGAGCAUUGCUUCCUGGGUGGGCCAAACGAGCGCAUGCGCACACACACACACGAGUGCCAACCACGACGCAUGCUAUGAGUUCCAACCCGCACCGCGACACUGGUGGGUGACGCGGAGCAGAAUGGAAAAGAGCCGAUUUUACCGACGUAAUGCCUUAAAGAUAGGUAUCGAGCACAGGAGGCCGCUAUCGAACAGGGCUUGGGGGCCCUUGUGCCGAUGAUUGAAGAGGCGCGGUUGGGAUGUCG